rnacentral:rRNA from 1 species
AGAGCGAACGCUGGCGGCAGGCUUAACACAUGCAAGUCGAGCGGGCGUAGCAAUACGUCAGCGGCAGACGGGUGAGUAACGCGUGGGAACGUACCUUUUGGUUCGGAACAACCCGGGGAAACUUGGGCUAAUACCGGAUAAGCCCUUACGGGGAAAGAUUUAUCGCCGAAAGAUCGGCCCGCGUCUGAUUAGCUAGUUGGUGAGGUAAUGGCUCACCAAGGCGACGAUCAGUAGCUGGUCUGAGAGGAUGAUCAGCCACAUUGGGACUGAGACACGGCCCAAACUCCUACGGGAGGCAGCAGUGGGGAAUAUUGGACAAUGGGCGCAAGCCUGAUCCAGCCAUGCCGCGUGAGUGAUGAAGGCCCUAGGGUUGUAAAGCUCUUUUGUGCGGGAAGAUAAUGACGGUACCGCAAGAAUAAGCCCCGGCUAACUUCGUGCCAGCAGCCGC